UCUUAAAAUACUUCAUUAGGCAUCAGCCAAGAUCUUCAUGUAUUAGCCCAUUUGGUUCUCUGCAAUUCCUUGCUUUGGGCAUUGCAAAUUGUAUUACUCAGGGCGGUUUGAUGCGUGAUACAUGGCCACAUUGCAAGCCUAACUCUGCUCUUCAGAAGAAGGCUUUCAUGGUUAAGUGAGUAGCCCGGGAUUUGGGGGAUCUGCACAUACUUCUUGACUCUGUUCUUGUAUUCAGUCCUAAAAUGGUUACCAACCAGCUGUUCAUUUGGGUCCCUGUGUAUAAAAUAAGGCAAUUUAAUCCCUUUCUUUUGCACUUCACUCAGUUCCUUUAGCUCAUUAAUUCUACAGAGCAGCACCUCAAUCGUGCCAUUUCAUAAGGAGAGCACACAGAGAAAUAACGUAGAGCAAGAUUAAACAAUCUGGUAGCUUAUAAAAAUUGAAUUCAGCCCCACAGAGCACUCUCCCUUCCUCCCAGUACCAAGAUAAUACCAUUCUGCUUCUCCCUGAAAUCUAGAGGCACCAGAAGUGGAGAUGGGGAGAUCUGCUGAGCGUUGCGCUCCACCCUUCUGCUCUCAUUGCUCGCCCUAAUGGUAUUUGCAGUGCAAGUAUUUGUACAAUUACAGUCAUAUCUGAGGGCUUUCCCAGAGAUAAGGGGUUUUAUUUCACUUCCUAUCUGAAAAAGCAAUGUAAUUAGUUUAUCCCAUAUUUGUCAAGAGAAAACAAAACCAAACGGUUUAAAUGGUGUUUGGAGGAACUGCUAUGGCAACACACUUCUGCCUUUGGCAUUAUUCAGCUCCUAAAUCUUUAUCCAGCUGUUCCUGUGCUGUGUCUGUGACUCCUGGAUGUGACAUAGAGCAGAGCUAUGGGAAUAAAUAUUCCUGAUUUAGAGAAAAGAAUUGCACAUCCAUCACAGGAAUGUUAUUCAACCCCUUCAAUUAUUUAUCUUCUGCAUUUGUAAUCUGCCAAUUGCAGGUACUCACACUUCUGGGGCGUGGUUAAACGCAGAAGCAAUGUCACCCAUUCUCUUCUGGCUUUCCUUCAGCUCUGCUGAACCAGAACAGACCUGUAACUGUCCUCUGCAAGGGCCUUAAAUGUAUCUUCCCACUUGUUGGACAGGCCUAAUGUAACCCUAAGUGGCCCAACCAACUAGUGCAAGGAGAUGCUGCAAGAUCUCAAGAAUUCAGGGCAAAUGGAGGAACACUUAAAAAGGCCCCCCAAACAGCUACCUUUAAUGGAAUUAGCAAGCUUAUCUAAAUAAAUAAGGAGAAGCUAUUUCUUGUGGAAAAAAAAAAAAUCUCAGUGAUUUCCCCUGAGGUAAAAUCAGCAGAGCAAAAAAAAAAAAAAAAAAAAAAGCCAUCGUCUAAAAAAAAUCCCUCACCAUAAACCCAAGGGGACUUGUCAGCUCCACGGCAGAAAUUGGAGAGACCACUCAAGCAAGAAGAGGAUUAGGCUGCCUCCUAUCAAAGCAUGCACAGACUGGAUUUUUCCAGCAACUUCAACAGAAUGAGGGUUGGUUUUUUUUUUUUUUUUUUUUCUUUUUAUUUUCAUUUCCAAUUGUGGAAAAGAUUGGAAGCAAAAAAAAAAUUCAAUACAGACCCUGAGGUAAUGUCUUUCCAAUGGGACCAAUGCCUAUGUCCUCCUUCUAGGUCCAUCAGUUUUCACAAUUAUAAAACUGGCCCCGAAGGCAGUGUGAAGGAUUUAAAUAUGUAAAGACCAACGCAUCACACUGCCGGAUUUGGAGGUGAGUUGGCCUGGCUGGAGAAAGGGAAGGAUGUGGGUGGUGACAAAAUGGCUGCUGUGAAGGACCUCUGGAGGACCACUCAUAGGAAAAUGAGUAGCUGGAAUGGCCAGGCCUCCCAUAGAAACUCAAGGCUGGUUGUUUUACCCCAGAGAGCGUGUAUUUUGCCUCUGGCUUAGUUUAUGAGGCUACCAAGCAGACUGUACUGACAGUGGGGCACGGGUAAAAUACUAACAGCAGCUCCUUGGGGCUGCGUGGCUUGCUACCAUGAGUCCAGCCUCCUAAUCCCCAUCCCAGACACAUCAGCGCUCAGCUAUUUUGAGUCUGCCUCAGGCUUCCAGAAAUACCAGGCAUGCUCUGAGCACACUCACAUUAGCACAGCCUGUGCCGUGAGAGCGUGGCAUAAGCUUGCUAGCAGAGCAGCUCCAUGCUAAGAGUGCCAUGCGUGCCCACCAAGCCGCCCGCCCACUGCUGUAGGACAGCACUGCUCUGGGUAUAAGCAGCAGAGAUUUGGCAAAUUGAGAACGGACUACAAAUGGAUGAUUCUUUAUUAAAAAUCCUUUUUCUUUCUUUUUCCUCAAUGAACCUUCGUCUUUUCAAACUGUGUAUUUCCUGAGGUGUAUGGUUGGCUCAAAGCAGCAUGAGGAGUGGAUUAAUUAUAUCACUUCUGUAUGAU
ensembl:lncRNA